GAAGAUGCAACCUCUUCCUUCCAUCAGUAAACUGCUCCUGUGGAAAAACCUCGCCAGUGACCAUAAGUGAUCUGGUUGAAAGUGGUUACUGGCCAGCCACUGUCAAUUUUGAGACCUUGUACUUGGUGGACUUGUUCACCACGUAUGAGGAUCUAAAAAUCACUGCCCCAGGGAUGUCAGUAUGCUUGAGUGUUGUACAAAACUUUUGUCAGCAUGCUCGAGUGUCGUACAAAACUCUUCGGGUGAGUGAGUGGACUCAUCAUUUAAGUUAUCCUGUCUGGAUCACCUUUUAAAUAACGGAUUCAUUGUUAGGACUUGUUCUUACAAUCCCCAAAGUGUCAGCACACAUUUCUUGACAGAGCCCUUUCUUCGUCAUGACCACGGUCUAAAGCCAACCUUCGAAACAGUUACUUACUGUUUUGUAUUGUUUUUUCACUUUUGGUCUAAGAGUGGUAAGAUAUGUGGGGACACAAUGCAGAGGGCCUUCCUCGAAUGGGCCUAUGCCAAAUUUGAGGUUGACAAGCUGUCUCAGGUCCAGCAUUUUCAGUGCCCUGCAUGCAUACCCUCCAUGUUGGCAGUUGCAGUGGAUGGGUACCACAAAUUACAUCGUUUCAAAAGCCAACCAGGGUGUGUAAAAUUCAUGUACAAUGAAAUGCUAGUGAUUUACUUUUAUACAGUAAAUUUAACCCACAUCUAUAUAUUUCUUUCAAGACCUGAUGGGUUUUUUUGGCCAAUGAUGCUGAGGUGUCCUCCUUUGUUGAUUACAUCCAUGGAGCAACUGGACAUCAUCCAGGGAAAGGGAGAUGUGGUGUGGGUCAGUGGACCGCAGCACGAGAGUCCGCCAACAAGUCUGCAAGCAAACUAGACGAGGAAGGUGUUGAAGUUGCUGUCAGCCGUCAUGGGGUUUUGCUGAAAGGACUGAAUAUGUUCCGUGGAGAAAUAUUUGCAUACCCAUUAUAUCUCCAGAAACAGCUAGCUUCACAGACCGUCCAGUUUUUUAGCUCUGAUGUGGUCUGCAAAUAUUGGCCAUAUCUGCAGAAAGUUGUGGACCACUGUCCAGAGUUGGAGGACUUGCUGAACAUGCGCCCAUUUCUCUCCAUCAUGCAUGCAAAAGUGCAUUCAUGGAUGUAAUAAUGACAAUUAGAUGUAUUUCUUACCAUUUGCACCACACAUUAUGAUUGUCUGUCCUCUGCCCCUACUUGGUGUUUUCCAAAUUAUAAUGUGUUACAGUUAAAAGGGGGGGGGGGCGCAAUCAAGAAGGAGCUGGAACAACAAUCGGGGAGGAGGUUGAAUAGGUUAACAGCUUCCUCUCUCGAGCAGCCAUAUGUUGCAAGUACAUGUCUAAAGCCGGUAAGCAUUUUUCAUGUAUAGUUGUGUCCAAAUUGAGACCAAGGGUUUUGAACACUGAUGCUCGGCCUUUCCAUUUUAGAGUUCCAUGCAUAGGUGCUCCCUUAGAAUACAACAGUCUGGUCAGCACUUUUACACUGAUCAGGAUUCUCUUUAUAAUAAUUUAACUUCUGACACAUUAAUUAAGUGUAUGAUCAGCUGAUCAUACACUUGAUGACCUAACCCAGUCAUUCAAAUCAUUUAUAUCUGCCACAGCAAAUAGGCUACACAAUGCAUCUAAUGUUAUAGUUAGAUUUAAGUAGACAAAAAAAGUGUGUGCAGUGCUUUAUUGGAUGGCAUGGUUAACUAGUAUAUAACUCUCUCACACUUACACACAAUCUCUCUCUCACACACACGCACACACUCAUGCACACACAUGCACAUGCACGCACACACGCACACACACACACACACACACACACACACACACACNNNNNNNNNNNNNNNNNNNNNNNNNNNNNNNNNNNNNNNNNNNNNNN
ensembl:lncRNA